GGGAGAAUAGCUCAGUGGUAGAGCACAUGCUUAGCAUGCACGAGGUCCUGGGUUCAAGCCCCAGUACCUCCA
rnacentral:tRNA from 1 species